rnacentral:snRNA from 1 species
AGAUGUGAGGAUGAUCUGGCUGAGACUUCUGUCAACCCGCUGAUUGUCAGGGUUGAUUUGGUUGAUGUGCCUGGCUAUCCGGGUGUCUUCACUCUUGUCAGUACUCUAUGUGUGUCCUUCCUGAAGCUGCAUGCUCAGUAGAAGAGGACGAGCUUUCCUGAGUAGAGGCAGGCUGGUCUUUGGUCAAGGGAGUAGGAGUAGUUGACCUCCUCUGCUAGAAACUCCAAACAAGCUCUCAGAAAGAGGUGGGUUGUGUUCCUGAGGGUGACAUCCGAGGUUGUCAGACAACCUACAUGUGCAUCUGUAAACACACAUGCAUGUGCACCUGCACACACACAUACGU